rnacentral:misc_RNA from 1 species
GAAAUGCGAUAAGUAAUGUGAAUUGCAGAAUUCAGUGAAUCAUCGAAUCUUUGAACGCACAUUGCGCCCCUUGGUAUUCCAUGGGGCAUGCCUGUUCGAGCGUCAUUUGUACCUUCAAGCUUUGCUUGGUGUUGGGUGUUUGUCUCGCCUCUGCGUGUAGACUCGCCUCAAAACAAUUGGCAGCCGGCGUAUUGAUUUCGGAGCGCAGUACAUCUCGCGCUUUGCACUCAUAACGACGACGUCCAAAAGUACAUUUUUACACUCUUGACCUCGGAUCAGGUAGGGAUACCCGCUGAACUUAAGC